CACCUUUGCUCUUCCGAAAAACCCAAAGAAAGAAUAGUGGACAUAUUUCCAAUACGACAAAAAUAUGAGUCAAAGAAGGAAUCAGUGCCUUCUUUACUUCUGAUCAUCCAUCCCUCUGUUCAUAUGAAUUGCACUUCUCUUGAAUCCAGAAGAUUUGGAUCGUUUUGACAGAGAAUCUGUGAGGUAUACAGAAAAAUGAAUCUUACUUGGCUUGGAUUGCUUCGGUUGGCUCCAAUUUGGUUUAGUUUCUUGAGCAACUGGCUUUUUCAUCACGGACCCUGCCCCAAAUACCCAAGUAACAUAAAAUCACAUGAAGGGCCGCUUGCUGUUUGGAGUCUUGUCACUACCACAGUCUGCUUUAUUUGUGCAAUUAAACUUGAAGGAGGAUUCCUUUCCAGGUGUCUAUCGUUCACCUUUCUGCUGUCUCUUUUCGCAACUGAACACCUAAUCUAUGGUAGAUUGCGCCUCAAAGAUCUCUCACCUAUUGCUUUCCUCGACGGCAUAUUAGCACAGUGGAUCAUGAUGUUCCUGCAAUAGAAUAUGCAAGUCAUCUUCAAGCUGCCUGGAAAGACGAAGGAAAUAUUUUGCCACUGUUCCAUAUUUUCUGGUGGUGCACUCGUGAAAAGUUCUUAUAUUCGAUUAUUUGAUCUCAGGACUGCAGAAGCCUUUAUUUACGUGAAAUUGUGAUGUUGUAAAUUUCUCUUUCAUGGUUAAAAAGCUUUAUAAUCUCUUGUAUUGAUACAUCACAAAGCAAUUUCAAUUGCAAUGGUUCUGUCAUAUGAUGACUUUAAGCUCAAA